UGCCGUGGGCGUUGGAAGAUUGAAGGGGGCUGCUCCUAGUACGAGAGGACCGGAGUGGACGAACCUCUGGUGUUCGGGUUGUGUCGCCAGACGCAUUGCCCGGUAGCUAAGUUCGGAAUUGAUAAGCGCUGAAAGCAUCUAAGCGCGAAGCGAGCCCUGAGAUGAGUCUUCCCUGAUACUUUAAGUAUCCUAAAGGGUUGUUCGAGACUAGAACGUUGAUAGGCAGGGUGUGUAAGCGUUGUGAGGCGUUGAGCUAACCUGUACUAAUUGCCCGUGAGGCUUAACCAU
rnacentral:rRNA from 1 species